rnacentral:tRNA from 1 species
AAUAUAGUGCCUGAUAAAAGGAUAGUUUUGAUAGAACUAAUUAUGUAAUUUUCCAGUUACCUAUGUUA